AUUGAACUCUGGCGGCAGGCCUAACACAUGCAAGUCGAGCGAGCGGCGGACUGGUGAGUAAUGUAUGGGGACUGCCCGAUAGAGGGGGAUAACUACUGGAAACGGUGUCUAAUACCGCAUACUAUCGGAUAACCCAUAUGGGAUUAGCUAGUAGGUGGGGUAAAGGCUCACCUAGGCGACGAUCUCUAGCUGAUCUGAGAGGAUGAUCAGACACACUGGGACUGAGACACGGCCCAGACUCCUACGGAGGCAGGAGUGGGGAAUAUUGAACAAUGGGCGCAAGCCUGAUGCAGCCAUGCCGCGUGUAUGAAGAAGGCCUUAGGGUUGUAAAGUACUUUCAACGGGGAGGCGUUAACCGCAGAAGAAGCACCGGCUAACUCCGUGCCAGCAGCCACGGUAAUAC
rnacentral:rRNA from 1 species